rnacentral:misc_RNA from 1 species
CUGCCCUCGCCAAGAGCACACUGCACAUAUUUUACCUUGUAGGUUGAACAGGACACCGCGCGCAGCGCCACUGCGCACCGUCUACGAAACGUUCACCCAUGUCAAGCAAGCUCAUCAAUGCUGUCUGCACCAUGGCAACGCGCGAGUGCGUUGCUGAGCUUGCGCUGUUCCACCGAGCGCUCCGCACGCUUCAUCCCACCCUACCCCUCUACCUCGGCUGCAGCAGCGAGGUCCGCGACGCCGCAGAAGCGGCCACCGACGCCACUUCGCAGCUGCGUGCUCUGUACGACGAUGCGCAUGUGCGGUGGGUACUGUGUCUCGACCAGUACGGCCCGGUCAUCUCACGCGCGGAAAUGGAGCGCCAACGCGGCGUGUGGUACCCCGCACGGCACACUGACUUCAUGAUGGAAAAGGCCAAUCUGAUGGAGCUAGCGUUGAUGACGGCAGAGCCAAGCACGCCGACCGUGGCCUUCCUCGACUGCGAUAUUAUUCUGCUUCGCGAACUGCCCUGCGUGCCGGCAGCCGCGGCUGUUGCCCUGUCGCCGCACUGGAUUCGCGAAUCCGACGAGGCCAUCUUCGGUGCCUUCAACGGCGGCUACGUUGUCGCGAGCACGCCGGAGGUGCUGUGGGAGUGGCGACAAGCUACACAGACGUCACGGUACUUUGAUCAGGCUUCGCUGGAGCACGUGGCGGCUGUCUUUGAGCGGCGCGCGCAGCUGCACCGACUGCCACCGCAGCACAACUACGGGUUCUGGCGUCUCCUCCAGUCGCGCUGCGGAAGUGUCGCCGAAGAGGCGAAGCGCUUUUCCAUCGCCCCUGCGCCGUCACCGGGCAGCGAGCAGCAACCAGCGCCGAUGGCCGUCCACUACGAUGGGGCACCGCUUUGCUCUGUGCACACGCACUUUUUGAUGCCCGACCCCCCGCGAGACGUUCGCCUGUUCAACGCCGUGCUGAAACGCUGGCUGGGGCGCUGCGCCGCCACAAACCCCAUCUGCGCCGCGGUCCUCGCGCACUUCUGAAGGGGGAAGUGACCUUCCCCCACCAAGCGAGGCGCCGCCGGGGGCCCCCAACGGCCACACGCGGAACGCCCCAGCGACGAGGGCACCACAACCACCCCCGCCGCGAACCCAACACCGGCAGCCCCAGCGCCCGCCGGCGGAGCGCCGCAAAAACCAACGCCAGCCGCCCCACCCACCGAGCGCGCCCAAAACCCUUUCAAAACCCCAGCCAGACCCCACCCCGCCCCUGGCCCCUCAGCCAGCGCCGCACGCCCCAGCCCCUAACCCAAACCAAACCCGCCGAAGGCCGCCGCAAAGGCAUGCAAACACCACGCGGAUAGAAAAGACGCGCCCCCCCCACCCCCGAAACACCCCCGGGGGACCCCACCGCCCGCACCGGCGGCGGAAAAACACGCCGACUUCCCCGCACCCUUUGCGCCUGGAAAACCCCCAAAAGAAGCGGCAGGGCGCUGGCGGGGCUAUGACGCACCCGCCCCCACCAGGGCGAAGCUGGCGAGCCCUGCGAAAAAAGAACCAAAGGAGCCGACGCCGACACGGAGCAAACCAGGGACCCGACAAACCCCAGCGCAUCGCCAAACGCCCCCGAGCACAAGGGCACCUGACGCGCAACACAAACACACACACACAAAAAAAAAGGAAAAAAUUGCAGCGACACAUCGUGGCUUUCAAGUCGGCUAUGGCGGUGGAAGCCGCCAAAAUCCAACCAGCGCAGCGCCAGCCAGAAACCCACCAGCCCCCGCCAGACACCACGCACAACACAGAGCAAGCGAGAGAAGCAACAAGGGAACCAAAAAGCCCACAACACAAGGACCGACCGCCUCAGCACAGGCGCUUAGCGGCGAGCACGGCGCAGAGGCGCGGCAUGGUCACUGCAGCAACCGCCACCACCAGCGCGCAUUUCCUUUCGGCGAGACCCUGCCAACCCGUUUCCCCAAGCCACGCGCCCCCAACCAGAGCACGCACCCAAAAAGCCACACCGCAAAUCCCAC